rnacentral:rRNA from 1 species
ACAACAGGUCGAAAUUCCUGUACCACCGUAAGCCGUUAUGAGCAAUGGGGGGACGCAGUAGGGUAGUGACGCGGACUGAUGGAUGUCCGUCUAAGCAGUAAGGCUGAUGUGUAGGCAAAUCCGCACAUUGUAAGGCUGAGCUGUGAUGGGGAGCGAAAAUUGUAGUAGCGAAGGUCAUGAUCUCACACUGCCAAGAAAAGCCUCUAGCCAGGUGAUGGUGCCCGUACCGCAAACCGACACAGGUAGGCGAGAAGAGUAUUCUAAGGCGCGCGGAAGAACUCUCGUUAAGGAACUCGGCAAAAUGACCCCGUAACUUCGGGAGAAGGGGUGCCCCGGUAGUGUGAAUAGCACGAGGGGGCCGCAGUGAAAAGGCCCAAGCGACUGUUUAGCAAAAACACAGGUCUGUGCGAAGCCGUAAGGCGAAGUAUACGGGCUGACGCCUGCCCGGUGCUGGAAGGUUAAGGGGAGUGGUUAGGGAGCAAUCCCGAAGCUGUGAACCGAAGCCCCAGUAAACGGCGGCCGUAACUAUAACGGUCCUAAGGUAGCGAAAUUCCUUGUCAGGUAAAUUCUGACCCGCACGAAUGGCGUAACGACUUGGGCGCUGUCUCAACGAGAGAUCCGGUGAAAUUUUAAUACCUGUGAAGAUGCAGGUUACCCGCGACAAGACGGAAAGACCCCAUGGAGCUUUACUGCAGCUUGAUAUUGAAUUUGGGUACGAUCUGUACAGGAUAGGUGGGAGCCUUUGAAACGGGAGCGCAAGCUUCCGUGGAGGCAACGUUGGGAUACCACCCUGAUCGUAUCUAGGUUCUAACCUGGUACCGUAAUCCGGUGCGGGGACAGUGUCAGGUGGGCAGUUUGACUGGG